rnacentral:rRNA from 1 species
UGGGGAAUAUUGCACAAUGGGCGCAAGCCUGAUGCAGCGACGCCGCGUGAGGGAUGACGGCCUUCGGGUUGUAAACCUCUUUCAGUACCGACGAAGCGCGAGUGACGGUAGGUACAGAAGAAGCACCGGCCAACUACGUGCCAGCAGCCGCGGUAAUACGUAGGGUGCGAGCGUUGUCCGGAAUUACUGGGCGUAAAGAGCUCGUAGGCGGUUUGUCGCGUCGUCUGUGAAAACCCGCAGCUCAACUGCGGGCUUGCAGGCGAUACGGGCAGACUUGAGUACUGCAGGGGAGACUGGAAUUCCUGGUGUAGCGGUGAAAUGCGCAGAUAUCAGGAGGAACACCGGUGGCGAAGGCGGGUCUCUGGGCAGUAACUGACGCUGAGGAGCGAAAGCGUGGGUAGCGAACA